rnacentral:rRNA from 1 species
UACAGAGGGUGCGAGCGUUAAUCGGAAUUACUGGGCGUAAAGCGUGCGUAGACGGUUAUUUAAGUCGGAUGUGAAAGCCCCGGGCUCAACCUGGGAAUUGCAUUCGAGACUGAAUAGCUAGGGUGCGGUAGAGGGAAGCGGAAUUUCCGGUGUAGCGGUGAAAUGCGUAGAUAUCGGAAGGAACAUCAGUGGCGAAGGCGAGUCCCUGGAAAACACCUGACACUGAGGCACGAAAGCUAGGGGAGCAAACAGG